CAGUCGAGGGGCAGCAUGGUCUUAGCUUGCUAAGGCCGAUGGCGACCGGCGCACGGGUGAGUAACGCGUAUCCAACCUGCCUUACACUCUUGGACAGCCUUCUGAAAGGGAGAUUAAUACAAGAUGUUAUCAUGAGUAAGCAUUUUCGCAUGAUCAAAGGUUUACCGGUGUAAGAUGGGGAUGCGUUCCAUUAGAUAGUAGGCGGGGUAACGGCCCACCUAGUCUUCGAUGGAUAGGGGUUCUGAGAGGAAGGUCCCCCACAUUGGAACUGAGACACGGUCCAAACUCCUACGGGAGGCAGCAGUGAGGAAUAUUGGUCAAUGGACGAGAGUCUGAACCAGCCAAGUAGCGUGAAGGAUGAAGGUUCUAUGGAUUGUAAACUUCUUUUAUACGGGAAUAAACGGAUCCACGCGUGGAUUUUUGCAUGUACCGUAUGAAUAAGGAUCGGCUAACUCCGUGCCAGCAGCCGCGGUAAUACGGAGGAUCCGAGCGUUAUCCGGAUUUAUUGGGUUUAAAGGGAGCGUAGAUGGGUUGUUAAGUCAGUUGUGAAAGUUUGCGGCUCAACCGUAAAAUUGCAAUUGAUACUGGCAGUCUUGAGUACAGUUGAGGUAGGCGGAAUUCGUGGUGUAGCGGUGAAAUGCUUAGAUAUCACGAAGAACUCCGAUUGCGAAGGCAGCUUACUAACCUGUAACUGACAUUGAUGCUCGAAAGUGUGGGUAUCAAACAGGAUUAGAUACCCUGGUAGUCCACACGGUAAA
rnacentral:rRNA from 1 species